UUGGUUAAGUUAGAAAGGGCGCACGGUGGAUGCCUUGGCACUAGGAGCCGAAGAAGGACGGGACUAACACCGAUAUGCUUUGGGGAGCUGUACGUAAGCGUCGAUCCAGAGAUUUCCGAAUGGGGGAACCCACUAUCUUUAGUCGGAUAGUAUCCUUACGUGAAUACAUAGCGUGAGGAAGGCAGACCCAGGGAACUGAAACAUCUAAGUACCUGGAGGAAGAGAAAGAAAAAUCGAUUUCCUGAGUAGCGGCGAGCGAAACGGAAAGAGCCCAAACCAAGAAGCUUGCUUCUUGGGGUUGUAGGACACUCUAUACGGAGUUACAAAAGAAAGUUAUAAAUGAAGCGGUCUGGAAAGGCCCGCCAAAGACGGUAACAGCCCGGUAGUUGAAAUGGCUUUCCCUCCAGAGUGGAUCCUGAGUACGGCGGAACACGUGAAAUUCCGUCGGAAUCCGGGAGGACCAUCUCCCAAGGCUAAAUACUCCCUAGUGACCGAUAGUGAACCAGUACCGUGAGGGAAAGGUGAAAAGCACCCCGGAAGGGGAGUGAAACAGUUCCUGAAACCGUGUGCCUACAAGUAGUUAGAGCCCGUUAAUGGGUGAUAGCGUGCCUUUUGUAGAAUGAACCGGCGAGUUACGAUUUGUUGCAAGGUUAAGCGGAAAAAGCGGAGCCGUAGCGAAAGCGAGUCUGAAUAGGGCGCAUAAGUAACAGGUCGUAGACCCGAAACCAGGUGAUCUACCCAUGUCCAGGAUGAAGGUAAGGUAAUACUUACUGGAGGUCCGAACCCACGCACGUUGAAAAGUGCGGGGAUGAGGUGUGGGUAGCGGAGAAAUUCCAAUCGAACUUGGAGAUAGCUGGUUCUCUCCGAAAUAGCUUUAGGGCUAGCCUCGAGGUAAAGAGUCAUGGAGGUAGAGCACUGUUUGGACUAGGGGCCCUUCUCGGGUUACCGAAUUCAGAUAAACUCCGAAUGCCAUGUACUUAUACUCGGGAGUCAGACUGCGAGUGAUAAGAUCCGUAGUCGAAAGGGAAACAGCCCAGACCACCAGUUAAGGUCCCCAAAUAUAUGUUAAGUGGAAAAGGAUGUGGGGUUGCUUAGACAACCAGGAUGUUGGCUUAGAAGCAGCCACCAUUGAAAGAGUGCGUAAUAGCUCACUGGUCGAGUGACCCCGCGCCGAAAAUGUACCGGGGCUAAACAUAUUACCGAAACUGUGGAUGAACCUCUUUAGAGGUUCGUGGUAGGAGAGCGUUCUAAGGGCGGUGAAGUCAGACCGGAAGGACUGGUGGAGCGCUUAGAAGUGAGAAUGCCGGUAUGAGUAGCGAAAGAAGGGUGAGAAUCCCUUCCACCGAAUAUCUAAGGUUUCCUGAGGAAGGCUCGUCCGCUCAGGGUUAGUCGGGACCUAAGCCGAGGCCGAUAGGCGUAGGCGAUGGACAACAGGUAGAGAUUCCUGUACCAGUGCUAAUUGUUUAACCGAUGGGGUGACACAGAAGGAUAGGGAAUCGCACGAAUGGAAAUGUGCGUCCAAGCAGUGAGUGUGAGAAGUAGGCAAAUCCGCUUCUCGCGAAGCAUGAGCUGUGAUGGGGAAGGAAAUUAAGUACGGAAGUUCCUGAUUUCACGCUGUCAAGAAAAGCCUCUAGGAAGAGUAGUACUGCCCGUACCGCAAACCGACACAGGUAGAUGAGGAGAGAAUCCUAAGGUGAGCGAGAGAACUCUCGUUAAGGAACUCGGCAAAAUGACCCCGUAACUUCGGGAGAAGGGGUGCUCUAUUAGGGUGCAAGCCCGAGAGAGCCGCAGUGAAUAGGCCCAGGCGACUGUUUAGCAAAAACACAGGUCUCUGCAAAACCGUAAGGUGACGUAUAGGGGCUGACGCCUGCCCGGUGCUGGAAGGUUAAGAGGAGUGCUUAGCUUCGGCGAAGGUACGAAUUGAAGCCCCAGUAAACGGCGGCCGUAACUAUAACGGUCCUAAGGUAGCGAAAUUCCUUGUCGGGUAAGUUCCGACCCGCACGAAAGGCGCAACGAUCUGGGCACUGUCUCAACGAGAGACUCGGUGAAAUUAUAGUACCUGUGAAGAUGCAGGUUACCCGCGACAGGACGGAAAGACCCCGUGGAGCUUUACUGCAACCUGAUAUGGAAUGUUUGU
rnacentral:rRNA from 1 species